GCAGGACCCACCACAGGAGGGACCUCUAAGAGCCCCAGCUGAAUUAAUUUGGCUGACAAAGAAAAACAACUUCCUGAGCUGCCAGUCUGAUAACUCCUCAGGACAGCUCCAGUAUGUUUC
rnacentral:lncRNA from 1 species